CCUACGGGUGGCAGCAGUGGGGAAUAUUGCACAAUGGGGGAAACCCUGAUGCAGCGACGCCGCGUGAGUGAAGAAGGAUUUCGGUAUGUAAAGCUCUAUUAGCAGGGAAGAAAAUGACGGUACUUGACUAAGAAUCCCCGGCUAAUUACGUGCCAGCAGCCGCCGUAAUACGUAGGGGGCAAGCGUUAUUCGGAUUUACUGGGUGUAAAGGGAGCGUAGACGGCAGAGCAAGUCUGAAGUGAAAGCCCGCGGCUCAACUGCGGGACUGCUUUGGAAACUGCCCGACUAGAGUGCUGGAGAGGUAAGCGGAAUUCCUAGUGUAGCGGUGAAAUGCGUAGAUAUUAGGAGGAACACCAGUGGCGAAGGCGGCUUACUGGACAGUAACUGACAUUGAGGCUCGAAAGCGUGGGGAGCAAACAGGAUUAGAUACCCGGGUAGUC
rnacentral:rRNA from 1 species